UUAAUUUUAAUAUUAAAAUAUUUUAAGAAAUAAAAAAUUAAAAAUUUUUGGUGAAAUAUAAUUUUAAAUUAAAUUAUUUAUAUAUAAUAUUAAUUUUAAACUAGGAUUAGAUACCCUAUUAUUUUAAUAUUUAAUUUAUUUAAUUGAGUAUUAAAUGUUUAAUCAUUAAAUUUAAUAAAUAUGGGGGUGAUUUAAAUUAUUAGGGGAACUUGAAUAUUAAUUUGAUAUUCCACGAUUUUAUUUACUUUAUUUAUAAAUAUUUUGUAUGAUUGUUUAUAAUUUAAUUUAAUAAAAUUAAUUUAUUUUUAAUAUUAUUAAAAAAAUUCAAAUCAAUAUUUAUUUAUAAUAAAGAUUUUUUGAGUUACAAUAAAUUUAAUUUAUAAAUUUUUUUAUUUAGAUAAUUUAUGAAAUUGGAUUUAAAAUUAAAUUUUUAAAAAAAUUAAAAAUUGAAUAUAAAUUAAAUUGUCUACAAACUGCCCGUCACUCUUUGUUAAAGAUAAGUCGUAACAAGGUAAUUAAAUUGGAAAAUUUAAUUAGAUUUUUUU
rnacentral:rRNA from 1 species